CGCUAGCUACAGGCUUAACACAUGCAAGUCGAGGGGCAGCAUGGUCUUAGCUUGCUAAGGCCGAUGGCGACCGGCGCACGGGUGAGUAACACGUAUCCAACCUGCCGUCUACUCUUGGACAGCCUUCUGAAAGGAAGAUUAAUACAAGAUGGCAUCAUGAGUCCGCAUGUUCACAUGAUUAAAGGUAUUCCGGUAGACGAUGGGGAUGCGUUCCAUUAGAUAGUAGGCGGGGUAACGGCCCACCUAGUCUUCGAUGGAUAGGGGUUCUGAGAGGAAGGUCCCCCACAUUGGAACUGAGACACGGUCCAAACUCCUACGGGAGGCAGCAGUGAGGAAUAUUGGUCAAUGGGCGAGAGCCUGAACCAGCCAAGUAGCGUGAAGGAUGACUGCCCUAUGGGUUGUAAACUUCUUUUAUAAAGGAAUAAAGUCGGGUAUGCAUACCCGUUUGCAUGUACUUUAUGAAUAAGGAUCGGCUAACUCCGUGCCAGCAGCCGCGGUAAUACGGAGGAUCCGAGCGUUAUCCGGAUUUAUUGGGUUUAAAGGGAGCGUAGAUGGAUGUUUAAGUCAGUUGUGAAAGUUUGCGGCUCAACCGUAAAAUUGCAGUUGAUACUGGAUAUCUUGAGUGCAGUUGAGGCAGGCGGAAUUCGUGGUGUAGCGGUGAAAUGCUUAGAUAUCACGAAGAACUCCGAUUGCGAAGGCAGCCUGCUAAGCUGCAACUGACAUUGAGGCUCGAAAGUGUGGGUAUCAAACAGGAUUAGAUACCCUGGUAGUCCACACGGUAAACGAUGAAUACUCGCUGUUUGCGAUAUACGGCAAGCGGCCAAGCGAAAGCGUUAAGUAUUCCACCUGGGGAGUACGCCGGCAACGGUGAAACUCAAAGGAAUUGACGGGGGCCCGCACAAGCGGAGGAACAUGUGGUUUAAUUCGAUGAUACGCGAGGAACCUUACCCGGGCUUAAAUUGCAGAUGAAUUACGGUGAAAGCCGUAAGCCGCAAGGCAUCUGUGAAGGUGCUGCAUGGUUGUCGUCAGCUCGUGCCGUGAGGUGUCGGCUUAAGUGCCAUAACGAGCGCAACCCUUGUUGUCAGUUACUAACAGGUUCCGCUGAGGACUCUGACAAGACUGCCAUCGUAAGAUGUGAGGAAGGUGGGGAUGACGUCAAAUCAGCACGGCCCUUACGUCCGGGGCUACACACGUGUUACAAUGGGGGGUACAGAGGGCCGCUACCACGCGAGUGGAUGCCAAUCCCCAAAACCUCUCUCAGUUCGGACUGGAGUCUGCAACCCGACUCCACGAAGCUGGAUUCGCUAGUAAUCGCGCAUCAGCCACGGCGCGGUGAAUACGUUCCCGGGCCUUGUACACACCGCCCGUCAAGCCAUGGGAGCCGGGGGUACCUGAAGUGCGUAACCGCGAGGAGCGCCCUAGGGUAAAACUGGUGAAU
rnacentral:rRNA from 1 species